GAUGAACGCUAGCUACAGGCUUAACACAUGCAAGUCGAGGGGCAGCAUGACGAUAGCUUGCUAUUGUUGAUGGCGAUCGGCGCACGGGGGAGUAACGCGUAUCCAAUCUGCUCUUGUCCAACGGAUAACCCGUAUAAAGGCGGACUAACACGGUAUGCCGCCCACAGCAGACAUCUAACGUGGACGAUAUGUGAAGGAGAAGGAUGGGGCUGCGUCUGAGUAGCUUGUUGGCGGGGUAACGGCCCACCAAAGCGACGAUCGGUAGGGGUUCUGAGAGGAAGGUCCCCCACAUUGGAACUGAGACACGGUCCAAACUCCUACGGGAGGCAGCAGUGAGGAAUAUUGGUCAAUGGGCGAGAGCCUGAACCAGCCAAGUAGCGUGUAGGAAGACGGCCCUAUGGGUUGUAAACUGCUUUUAUACGGGGAUAAAGUGAGUCACGUGUGGCUUAUUGCAGGUACCGUAUGAAUAAGGACCGGCUAAUUCCGUGCCAGCCGCCGCUGUAA
rnacentral:rRNA from 1 species